GAAUUUCAAUUUGAUUUCAUAAAACUCAUCUUUAUUUGUAAAAUAGUUGAUAGAUCAGUAAGUUAAUCUAGAAACCUUUAAUUUUCGAUCACAAUGACUUUUAUAAAAUCAAAUUGAAAUUCAGUAAGUUUUACAAAAAAAAUUAAAAUUCAGUGACUUUUAUGAAAACACUCAUAAAGUUGAAUGACCGCGUGUAAUAUUUACCCAAAUUAUUUUUGAUGGCUUAAAGUUCCACACUGCUUCAUACUCCUUUCACAUAAUGGCUCAAACACUUAAACUUAAGAGCACUGAGUAGUAAAAUUAAGCUUGCUUUUUUUCCCCCUCCAUUUUUUUCAAUUUUGAAAGCAAGAGUAAUAUUUGGGGAAACAUCGAAGAACAAUUUUUAAAAAGUUGAAAAGUAAAAAAUUACUUCUGUUGUAGUAGCCGCAUUUGAACUGAAAUUUGUACAUUUAUUAAAUAUACGUUCUCAUUUUUGCUUUCUAGCAAAAUAAAAAUUUGCUGAGAGUACUUUUUAGAAAGCAAAAAUCAAUAAACAAACAAACUAAUGGGUUCUAUACCUCUAUUAAGCAAUCAAUGCUCAUAUGUACUCCCAGAAGAAGCAAAUUUUAAUGUUCCUUUGAUGCAGCUUCUUCCAGUGAAAUUCGCAAUGCUUUGAAGGAUGACAAUCUUCGGAAACUUAUACAAAGUAUUGAUUGUGCGCCAGAUCCAGCAAGUGUAAGCAUUCUAAUUUUCAGUUAAAUGAGAGGAAGAAAUCCUUCUAAAAUCUGCUGUUACCAUUGGGUAGGAACUUGACAAAGCUAUGGAAGUGGAGGAAUUUCGCAUCUUCACAGAGAAGGUAUUUUAGGGUUUAUCUUAAUUCCAUUCUGAAGUUGAAUCGUUGCUUUCAUCAUUCUUAAAUACAGUGAUGAUAUAAAGCUUGUAAUAUAGAAAUUUGAAUGUUGUGGUGUUAUUAAUCAGUACUGACAUUUCCUCUGUUCUCAGAUUUUAUCUGCUAUAGGUCAGUAACUUCAAGCAGUGGUAGACAGAAGGAGAUUGUGCCGGUUUCAUUUUUAUUGUAACAAGUGUAUGUAGACUUUGUGCCAUCUACUUCAACUUCAAUGUGACGUUCAAUUUUUGGAGUGAGUACUCUUUAGGCGAGUCUUUUAUCUAAAAUCUAUAAUUUCAGUUGUUCAUAGCAAGUUGAAUUAAUGUAACGUGGAAGAAAUGGUGCAGGUUUCUCUCAUUUUCUUGUCCAAAAUAAUUUCGUCUUUGGGUUAUGCUCAUGAUGAAUUGCCUUGUAUGCAAACCACAGCAUAAAGAAGAGAUUUCUUCCUGAUUCUCCUUCUUCUUUCUUUGUGCACGUAUCCUCAUAUGGGAGUAAACCUGGCCACGGCCCGAAACCACCGGUUCGGCCAGCCUCAUGGUUCAGAUCAGUUUUAUUUCAUUACGGUUUCAGUUUGAUGCAGUUCAAUAUGGUUCCCGUCUGGUCCCAAUUCUGUUUCAAUUCAAAAUUUUUGAAAAUUACAACAAUAUUAAUAUUUGAUACAUUAAAAGAUAUAAAU
rnacentral:misc_RNA from 1 species